UGGGGUGUCGUCUAACGGCAGGACAAGAGACUCUGGAUCUCUUGGUGAGGGUUCGAUUCCUUCCACCCCAG
rnacentral:tRNA from 1 species